rnacentral:rRNA from 1 species
UACGUAGGGGGCAAGCGUUGUCCGGAAUCAUUGGGCGUAAAGCGCGUGUAGGCGGCUCGGUAAGUCUGCUGUGAAAGUCCAGGGCUCAACCCUGGAAAGCCGGUGGAAACUGUCGAGCUAGAGUCCGGAAGAGGCGAGUGGAAUUCCUGGUGUAGCGGUGAAAUGCGCAGAUAUCAGGAGGAACACCAAUGGCGAAGGCAGCUCGCUGGGACGGUACUGACGCUGAUGCACGAAAGCUAGGGGAGCAAACAGG